rnacentral:rRNA from 1 species
UACGGAGGAUGCGAGCGUUAUCCGGAUUUAUUGGGUUUAAAGGGUGCGUGGGCGGAUCGUUAAGUCAGUGGUCAAAUUGAGGGGCUCAACCCCUUCCCGCCAUUGAAACUGGCGAACUUGAGUGGAAGAGAAGUAUGCGGAAUGCGUGGUGUAGCGGUGAAAUGCAUAGAUAUCACGCAGAACCCCGAUUGCGAAGGCAGCAUGCCGGCUUCCUACUGACGCUGAAGCACGAAAGCGUGGGGAUCGAACAGG